GAAAAGAAAUCAGUUCAGCACUAAGUCACUUUGUCUUUAUGGCAAAUGUGAGAUGCAGUGUAUGGAAUGUUCAAUUUCUAGUAUGAGAAAUUAGCGAUUUAAGUCCUUCUUAAAUGAGGCCAUUUACCCAUAGAGGGUGCCAGGCCCGUAUAACGCUAAUGAUUACUAGAGAACAUUUCCAAAGAGUCGUGUUGCUUGAUAGUGCAGCACUAAGUGGGUGGUAAACUCCAUCUAAAACUAAAUAUAACCAUGAGACCGAUAGUAAACAAGUACCGUGAGGGAAAGUUGAAAAGAACUCUGAAUAGAGAGUUAAAUAGUACGUGAAACUGCUUAGAGGUUAAGCCCGAUGAACCUGAAUAUCCAUUAUGGAAAAUUCAUCGCUACGAUUGUGAUAUUUUAAAAAUAUCAUAAGAAUGGCGUGCAUUUUUUCCAUAUAAGGACAUUGUAAUCUAUUAACAUAAACACAAUUUAUCAAAAGAUCAAUGGCUUAAGUUUAUUCAAAUUAUUUUGCUUGCAAUUUAACAUAGAAUAAAUGCUGUCGAUUUGAUAAAGUGUUGAUAGAUUUAUUUGUAUAUAGUGCUUAAAUAUUUAUAUUUUAUAAUAGCAUAUUGAUAAUUUAUUUUUAUGUUUAUUAUAUGCACUUAUAUGAUUAACAAUGCGAAAGAUUCAGGAUACCUUCGGGACCCGUCUUGAAACACGGACCAAGGAGUCUACAUAUUUGCAAGUUAUGGGG
rnacentral:rRNA from 1 species